UGGCUUCACAGGUGGCCUCCAACACAGACUAUGCUGGGCUCUGCACGCAGACAUGUUGAUCAUUUGAGAGCUGUUUGGGCCAAGACUAUAAUCCAGGACUAACUUGGCCAGCUGCCCACUGAAGCUGAUUCCUGGAAAUUUAAUAAGAAGCCUG